rnacentral:rRNA from 1 species
ACCGCAAGGAGGACGGUCACCACGGUAGGAUUCAUGACUGGGGUGAAGUCGUAACAAGGUAGCCGUAUCGGAAGGUGCGGCUGGAUCACCUCCUUUCCAG